GCCGGGCAUGGUGGUGCGUGCCUGUAAUCCCAGUUACUUGGGAGGCUGAGGCAGGAGAAUCACUUGAACCUGGGAGGUGGAGGUUGCAGUGAGCCAAGAUCACGCCACUGCACUCCAGCCUGGGCAACAGAGUGAGACCCCGUUUCAG
rfam:Gorilla gorilla gorilla genomic chromosome, chr12, whole genome shotgun sequence